UAGGGAAUCUUCGGCAAUGGACGAAAGUCUGACCGAGCAACGCCGCGUGAGUGAAGAAGGUUUUCGGAUCGUAAAACUCUGUUGUUAGAGAAGAACAAGGACGUUAGUAACUGAACGUCCCCUGACGGUAUCUAACCAGAAAGCCACGGCUAACUACGUGCCAGCAGCCGCGGUAAUACGUAGGUGGCAAGCGUUGUCCGGAUUUAUUGGACGUAAAGCGAGCGCAGGCGGGUUCUUAAGUCGGAUGUGAAAGCCCCCGGCUCAACCGGGGAGGGUCAUUGGAAACUGGGAGACUUGAGUGCGGGAGAGGGGAGUGGAAUUCCAUGUGUAGCGGUGAAAUGCGUAGAUAUAUGGAGGAACACCAGUGGCGAAGGCGGCUCUCUGGUCAGUAACUGACGCUGAGGCUCGAAAGCGUGGGGAGCAAACAGG
rnacentral:rRNA from 1 species